UACAGAGGAUGCAAGCGUUAUCCGGAAUGAUUGGGCGUAAAGCGUCUGUAGGUGGCUUUUUAAGUCCGCCGUCAAAUCCCAGGGCUCAACUCUGGACAGGCGGUGGAAACUACCAAGCUGGAGUACGGUAGGGGCAGAGGGAAUUUCCGGUGGAGCGGUGAAAUGCGCAGAUAUCAGGAGGAACACCGGUGGCGAGGGCGGGUCUCUGGGCCGAUACUGACACUGAGGAGCGAAAGCGUGGGGAGCAAACAGG
rnacentral:rRNA from 1 species